rnacentral:tRNA from 1 species
UAUCAUAACGGUUAAGCUCUUGGCUGCUAACCAAGAGGUUGGUGGUUCAAACCCACC